AUUAGUAUUUAGCGAACUAUCUAGUAUCUAUUUCAUUCGUAUUAUAUAGUAAUACAAGUCUCUAUAAAGUUCCUCUUCUUUAUACUUGGGUCCGUCCCUGACUUGGAGAAGAUGUGGGUGCUAGCAUGAUGUUGUUGUAGGCCAUGACACUAUUGUAAUCUAAGAAAGCGUUUGGUUACUAUCCAUGUCUCUUAAAAACAUGGACACGGUAACACACGUCCUUUGUUUAGUUUGGUGAGACACAAAAUUUAAUCACGAGAAGACAUAGAUGGACAUAAAUACACAAAAUUUAUGUACCAUCUAUAAGUUAAGACACUAAGACACUAAUUUUUUUUCCUUUAAAUUCCAAUUUUAACCUUAAACCCUAAUACGUUUUUUCCUCCCUCUCCUUCCCUCUUCCCUCUUCUUCUGCCUCUAUCUAUCCUCUUCCCCUCAAUCACUUCUCCCUCUGCCACCAUCACCGUUGUCACUCAAGAUCUGUUGCCCACCACUGAAUCAGUCGCAACGUCGUCACCGUCCACCCCCUCACAGCCCAGCAUCGCAGAUCGUGUCGCCCCACCAUCGCGGAUCAUCACUAAUUCACCAUCACAGGUCUCAUGGCGGUGAUGGGUCUCACUGCUUCACUGCCACGAUCUCACGGCUUCACCACCAUCAUUUUCCAUAUUUAUUCCAGCUCUUUCUGUUUUUUUUUUUUUUGUUAGAUCUGUACUUUCUUCAACCCUCAUUACGUCCCUCUCAUCCUCAUUUCUUUUUUUUUUUUUUUUUGGACUAGUGUUUGAUUUUUAAAAAAUAAUUGCUAAUAUUUUCAUUAUGUUUCAAUUUUUAAUUUAAAUUGUUGAAGUAGUGAUUAAAUUUUGUUAAUGAUAUUGAUUUGGGAUGAAGUUGAAAAAUUAGCAUUGGUAGUAAAAAUAACUGAUAAUAAUGGUAACAGUGAUGAUCAUGUUUAAGAUAAAAUAAACAUUUGAAUUAGAGAAUUGUGUUCUAAAUAUCAUUACCAAACAUGAUAAAAAAAAAUUGUAUAUAUAUGUAUCUAUGUCUACUUGUGUAUCUAUAUUUGUGUCUCUGUGUCUAAAAGACACUAACCAAACACAGCCUAAUACAUAGGAGGCUGGGAGAUGAAAUCGUGGAAUGUGGCAGCUGCCUGGCUGGAAGGGGAAGGCGUUGAGGGUUUUAGACUUUUAGGUUAUGGUGGAUCUUUUUAGGAUUUUGGAUUUGGAAAGGUUUGACUAUAAUAAUUUUAAAAAGCAAAAAAGAGAGAAGGGGGUUUUAAAUGGGAUGAGCUAGGACAAUAAAAAGAAAAAGAAAGAAGUGGUCGCGUGAUGGGUUUGUCCCGACUUGCCAAACCUCGCGGGAUAAAUGGUGCAAAUUAGGUGACUCAAUCGUUUAAUCCGGCCCGCCUCUUUUGGUGGGUUAAGCGGGCCAAGCUGGCAGGCUGCAGCACAUUUGUCACUCCCACUGAUAAUUUACCUUGUCAUCCUCUACCCAGACCCCACAGUGACCCAAAUGCAGAAAUAAAAUGGGCUUUAGGAUUAGGGCCCAUUGCAUAUUGGACUAACAUGAUAAGCCCCACUAAUAUUAACCACUUUUCCUGGAUUAAAAACACCCAAAGCGCCAAUGUAGCUUUGGCUCUAAUGGCAUUUCUCCCCCCUCCCCACCUCAAGGUCUAGGGUUCAAAUCCUAGAGAUUGCAAUUGAAGAAAAAUGUGAUAAAAAUGUGAGGAGUGUGUGGGUGUAUUGUGUACCUAGGAUUGGGGGUUGUCCAAUCCAAUGACAAAAAAAAAAGAAACCAGAAAAUU